rnacentral:rRNA from 1 species
GACGAACCGUGCGAACGUUAUUCGGAAUCACUGGGCUUAAAGGGCGCGUAGGCGGGCUCGCAGGUCAGGGGUGAAAGCCCACGGCUCAACCGUGGAAGUGCCUUUGAUACCGUGAGUCUCGAGGGAGGUAGGGGCGUGCGGAACUUCCGGUGGAGCGGUGAAAUGCGUAGAUAUCGGAAGGAACAACGGUGGCGAAAGCGGCGCGCUGGACCUCUUCUGACGCUGAGGCGCCAAAGCCAGGGGAGCAAACGGG